rnacentral:misc_RNA from 1 species
CGGUACUGCUGGUGGUAGCUGGGGUUCAGCUGGAAAUUCCGGUAGUGGUAAUGCUGGUGGUAGCUGGGGUUCAGUUGGAAAUUCUGGUAGUGGUAAUGCUGGUGGGUAUAAUGCAUAUAAUUAUACUGCCAGUGUGAAUCAGAGUGGUGGUAAUACUAAAACCCCUAAUCUUGGAGGUACAUCAUUGAAAAAUAUGUCUGGAAGUGGAGUUGGUGAAGGGAUGGGUGUUAAUAAGGACCCAUUUGGUUCGCUGGUUGAUUUUUCGUCUAAGCCGGGGCCUAAUAUGAAGUCAGAUAGUAAAGAAACUAAGAAGAAUAGUUCAGGGGAUGAUGUGUUCGGGAAUUUCCAAAAUGCUACCAAAUCAGAUGGACCAGGAUUUCCAUCAGAUCCAUUUCCUACAAGUAAUACUAAUGCUUCACCCGGGUUGAAUACAGGUGGUGCUUAUUCCAAGGUUGAUGAUUUCGGAUUCACUAAUACUCAGAGUCAACCAUCUGCUACUCAGUCUUCAGGUGUGGGUGAUUUUGAUUCACUUUUUUCAUCAACUAAUGCUUCAUCUGGAGAAGCUGCUGGAGGGAGUGAGAACCAGCAGUUUACAGGGGGUGAUGAUUGGGGCUUUGAAUCAGAGUUUGUGGGUGCUAAUGAUAGCAGUGGGACAACUGAAAUUGAAGGGCUUCCACCACCACCUUCUGGUGUGAGUGCUUCCGCUGCGAAGAACAAGGGAAUGGAUAAUCACAAGCAGGGACAAUAUGGUGAUGCCAUAAAAUGGUUGUCGUGGGCUGUCAUUCUUCUCGAGAAGGCUGGUGAUGAAGCUGGUGUAAUGGAAGUUCUGUCAAGUAGGGCUUCAUGUUACAAAGAGGUAGGAGAAUACAAGAAGGCUGUGGCUGACUGUACA